AUUAACCAAAAUACCGAUUACCAAACAAAUCAGUUUCCCACCAAUAUCACUACUACACCCAAUAUCACAAUAUCAAAACGAGUCCAAGUUUUCAACAAUACGCCAUAACCACCAUUCAAAAUCCCACAUAUUUAACAUUGGCAAACAACUCCAGUAAUACUAUCCAGUACAGUAAGGCCACAACCAAAACAUACAUCCAAACCCAUAAUUCCCAUACACUUAACGUGCAUACACAACCUUGGGAAGGUCCUAAAUCCAUUCUAGUACCUUCCCAAAGAAUGAGACCGUCACAAAAGACCCUUGGUCAACAAUUGGUCAAACUCCUCGUUUUUGGUCAACCAGGCCCACGGGGCCCACAACCUCCGAUUUCUGAUCUGAAAGUUCCUAUGAGGUC
rnacentral:lncRNA from 1 species